GGGGGAUAGCCUUUCGAAAGGAAGAUUAAUACUCCAUAAUAUAUUGAACGGCAUCGUUUAAUAUUGAAAGCUCCGGCGGAUAGAGAUGGGCACGCGCAAGAUUAGCUAGUUGGUGAGGUAACGGCUCACCAAGGCGAUGAUCUUUAGGGGGCCUGAGAGGGUGAUCCCCCACACUGGUACUGAGACACGGACCAG
rnacentral:rRNA from 1 species